CAACAUGGAUCUGGCUAUGGCAUCUAUCACCCCAUUGAUCAUGGGCAUUGAUUCAGCUGAUCUGGCUGGCUAGGCAGGUACCCCUUUCCUCCCCAACCACUCCAGGUACAUUCUUCCUGAACCUGCUCACAGGGUCAGUGAGGACCUCCCCCCCCCCCAAUAGAGGAAGUCCAGUCAGUCUAGUAACUGAGCUCCCCGGCUUAGACCUCCAAACAGGCUCUCAGAAAUUAGUAACACAAAUCAUUUCAUCUAAUCACCUAGAUCCUGAAUUUCUCUGGAACCAGGAGGGGAUUAUUCAGAUUUUUUUUUU
rnacentral:snRNA from 1 species